rnacentral:rRNA from 1 species
GGUUAAGCGACUAAGCGUACACGGUGGAUGCCCUGGCAGUCAGAGGCGAUGAAGGGCGUGCUAAUCUGCGAUAAGCGCCGGUAAGGUGAUAUGAACCGUUAUAACCGGCGAUACCCGAAUGGGGAAACCCAGUGUGAUUCGUCACACUAUCAUUAACUGAAUCCAUAGGUUAAUGAGGCGAACCGGGGGAACUGAAACAUCUAAGUACCCCGAGGAAAAGAAAUCAACCGAGAUUCCCCCAGUAGCGGCGAGCGAACGGGGAGGAGCCCAGAGCCUGAAUCAGCAUGUGUGUUAGUGGAAGCGUCUGGAAAGGCGCGCGAUACAGGGUGACAGCCCCGUACACAAAAGCGCAUGUGCUGUGAGCUCGAUGAGUAGGGCGGGACACGUGGUAUCCUGUCUGAAUAUGGGGGGACCAUCCUCCAAGGCUAAAUACUCCUGACUGACCGAUAGUGAACCAGUACCGUGAGGGAAAGGCGAAAAGAACCCCGGCGAGGGGAGUGAAAAAGAACCUGAAACCGUGUACGUACAAGCAGUGGGAGCCCCACCACCAAAGCAUUCUCUGGUGUUGAAGGCCCUGCAAAGCAGCAUCGCGGUGGCGGAGCGUCGUUUGCGACGCCCAACACACAAAACAAGCGGUGAGUGCUUUGGGGUGGGGUGACUGCGUACCUUUUGUAUAAUGGGUCAGCGACUUAUAUUCUGUAGCAAGGUUAACCGUAUAGGGGAGCCGGAGGGAAACCGAGUCUUAAUUGGGCGUUAAGUUGCAGGGUAUAGACCCGAAACCCGGUGAUCUAGCCAUGGGCAGGUUGAAGGUUGGGUAACACUAACUGGAGGACCGAACCGACUAAUGUUGAAAAAUUAGCGGAUGACCUGUGGCUGGGGGUGAAAGGCCAAUCAAACCGGGAGAUAGCUGGUUCUCCCCGAAAGCUAUUUAGGUAGCGCCUCGUGAAUUCAUCUCCGGGGGUAGAGCACUGUUUCGGCUAGGGGGUCAUCCCGACUUACCAACCCGAUGCAAACUGCGAAUACCGGAGAAUGUUAUCACGGGAGACACACGGCGGGUGCUAACGUCCGUCGUGAAGAGGGAAACAACCCAGACCGCCAGCUAAGGUCCCAAAGUCAUGGUUAAGUGGGAAACGAUGUGGGAAGGCCCAGACAGCCAGGAUGUUGGCUUAGAAGCAGCCAUCAUUUAAAGAAAGCGUAAUAGCUCACUGGUCGAGUCGGCCUGCGCGGAAGAUGUAACGGGGCUAAACCAUGCACCGAAGCUGCGGCAGCGACACUCAGGUGUUGUUGGGUAGGGGAGCGUUCUGUAAGCCUGCGAAGGUGGCCUGUGAGGGUUGCUGGAGGUAUCAGAAGUGCGAAUGCUGACAUAAGUAACGAUAAAGCGGGUGAAAAGCCCGCUCGCCGGAAGACCAAGGGUUCCUGUCCAACGUUAAUCGGGGCAGGGUGAGUCGACCCCUAAGGCGAGGCCGAAAGGCGUAGUCGAUGGGAAACGGGUUAAUAUUCCCGUACUUGGUGUUACUGCGAAGGGGGGACGGAGAAGGCUAUGUUGGCCGGGCGACGGUUGUCCCGGUUUAAGCGUGUAGGUGUGUGUUCCAGGUAAAUCCGGUUCACUUUAACACUGAGGCGUGAUGACGAGGCACUACGGUGCUGAAGCAACAAAUGCCCUGCUUCCAGGAAAAGCCUCUAAGCAUCAGGUAACAUCAAAUCGUACCCCAAACCGACACAGGUGGUCAGGUAGAGAAUACCAAGGCGCUUGAGAGAACUCGGGUGAAGGAACUAGGCAAAAUGGUGCCGUAACUUCGGGAGAAGGCACGCUGACACGUAGGUGAAGUGAUUUACUCAUGGAGCUGAAGUCAGUCGAAGAUACCAGCUGGCUGCAACUGUUUAUUAAAAACACAGCACUGUGCAAACACGAAAGUGGACGUAUACGGUGUGACGCCUGCCCGGUGCCGGAAGGUUAAUUGAUGGGGUCAGCGCAAGCGAAGCUCCUGAUCGAAGCCCCGGUAAACGGCGGCCGUAACUAUAACGGUCCUAAGGUAGCGAAAUUCCUUGUCGGGUAAGUUCCGACCUGCACGAAUGGCGUAAUGAUGGCCAGGCUGUCUCCACCCGAGACUCAGUGAAAUUGAACUCGCUGUGAAGAUGCAGUGUACCCGCGGCAAGACGGAAAGACCCCGUGAACCUUUACUAUAGCUUGACACUGAACAUUGAGCCUUGAUGUGUAGGAUAGGUGGGAGGCUUUGAAGUGUGGACGCCAGUCUGCAUGGAGCCGACCUUGAAAUACCACCCUUUAAUGUUUGAUGUUCUAACGUGGACCCGUGAUCCGGGUUGCGGACAGUGUCUGGUGGGUAGUUUGACUGGGGCGGUCUCCUCCUAAAGAGUAACGGAGGAGCACGAAGGUUGGCUAAUCCUGGUCGGACAUCAGGAGGUUAGUGCAAUGGCAUAAGCCAGCUUGACUGCGAGCGUGACGGCGCGAGCAGGUGCGAAAGCAGGUCAUAGUGAUCCGGUGGUUCUGAAUGGAAGGGCCAUCGCUCAACGGAUAAAAGGUACUCCGGGGAUAACAGGCUGAUACCGCCCAAGAGUUCAUAUCGACGGCGGUGUUUGGCACCUCGAUGUCGGCUCAUCACAUCCUGGGGCUGAAGUAGGUCCCAAGGGUAUGGCUGUUCGCCAUUUAAAGUGGUACGCGAGCUGGGUUUAGAACGUCGUGAGACAGUUCGGUCCCUAUCUGCCGUGGGCGCUGGAGAACUGAGGGGGGCUGCUCCUAGUACGAGAGGACCGGAGUGGACGCAUCACUGGUGUUCGGGUUGUCAUGCCAAUGGCACUGCCCGGUAGCUAAAUGCGGAAGAGAUAAGUGCUGAAAGCAUCUAAGCACGAAACUUGCCCCGAGAUGAGUUCUCCCUGAGACUUAGAGUCUCCUGAAGGAACGUUGAAGACGACGACGUUGAUAGGCCGGGUGUGUAAGCGCAGCGAUGCGUUGAGCUAACCGGUACUAAUGAACCGUGAGGCUUAACCUU